UAGCGUAUAUUAAAGUUGUUGCAGUUAGAACGCUCGUAGUCGGAUUUCGGGGCGGGGCGACCGGUCUGCCGAUGGGUACGCACUGGUCGGCGCGUCCUUCCUUCCGGAGACCGUGCCUACUCUUAACUGAGCGGGUGCGGGAGACGGAACGUUUACUUUGAAAAAAUCAGAGUGUUUCAAGCAGGCAGCUCGCUCUUGCAUGGAUUAGCAUGGGAUAAUGAAAUAGGACUUUGGUGCUAUUUUGUUGGUUUCGAACACCGAAGUAAUGAUGAGAAGGGACAGUCAGGGGCAUUUGUAUUCGACCGAGAGAGGUGAAAUUCUCAGACCAGUCGAAGACAAACUACUGCGAAAGCAUCUG
rnacentral:rRNA from 1 species